AGAGUGAAACAGACAAACCUGAAAGAUGCCCCAGUCUUGGCAAGUAGAGUGCAACUUGUGGAGCUCAAGGUUCUGGUGGUCAUCUUCCAAAAGCAAACGAGACAUGUCGAUGGUUGGUGGCAAAGGAGUGGUGACAGACAAGGAAGGAGGUUGUUGGUUUAUACGAACAAAUGGUUGUGGGAUUGAGAAAUCCGGUGCUGCUAAUUUAACAAGUUCCUGGACGCUAAAUGUUGAAGGAUCGAAGGCAGAGGUGCUGAAAUCAUCUUCAGUGUAUGAUGAUGAUGAUCCCAUAUUGUUGAGGAAGGAGUCAGCCUCUUCAAUCUACAACAUACACCCCAUUGUUGGAGAUAUUUAAAGGGGAAAACAAAGGUUACAGCUGUUUUUGUAUGAGGUAAGAAUACAAUAGGUACAAAAGAAGAUAUUGACUUGGCAACAUGAUAAUUUUAAUAAAAAAAUGGAAAUAGGGUAUGACAGAAUAUGAUAAUGGAUUUUUUUUAUAAAUAUUUCACAAAAAAUUAUUGAUACUUUUUUUUUUCAUUAAAUGCUUAUUUUUAUUUAUCGAAUAAACAAAUUUAAUUUAUGGGAUAUUUUACCCAUCUAACCCACAAAAAACUAAUAUUUAUAAAAAUGACUUUGGUUCAAAAAUAUUUACGAAAUGACCUGAAAUGAACAAUAAAUUUAAGUUUUGGGAACCCAAUGGUCGACAACACCUUGUGUUUUGGCCUCACCAUUACUUGAUGAUUGUGUCAGACUUUAAAAAAAUAAAAUUUUUGAGUUUGGGACAUGAAUGGCUGGCACCAGGGUAUAUUUUUUUUAAAUUGUAUCAUACUGGUAUAUAAAAAAUACUAGUAUUUGAAAUUUUUUUUUUUGGUUUUGGCCAUGUAAUGGUCGGCACCAGAGGCAUUUAAAAUUUUUUUUUUGGAUGCUGGCCAAUAGAUGGCCGGUACCAAGUACAUUUUUCGGCUCCCAAGAAACUUUUUUUUUUUACUUUGGGACACUAACGGCCUGCACUAGUGUCAUUUAAAAUUUUUUUCUUGGUGCUGGCCAGUAAAUGGUCGACACCAAGUCCAUCUUUCAGCUCUUAAGGCAUUUUUUUUUACUUUGGGACACUGAUGGCCCGCACCACCUUUUUCGGGUCCCAAAAAUAUUUUUUUUGGUUUUGGGACACCGAUGGCCGGCACCAACUUUAUCAGAUUAAAAAACAUUUUUUUCUUAUUUUGGAACACUAAUAGCCGACACCAAGUAUUAGAAAAUUAGUUUUCUUAAUUUUGAGAAUCAGAUGGCCGACACCAAAUUUAUCAGAUAUAUAUAGGUGUUUUGUCUUCCAUUUGAGUUUUUGUUUACUUUAUUAGUUGAAAAUCGAGAUUAAAAAUAUCAGUUUUUUCUGUUGAGAAGGAAGCAAAAUUUUUUUAAGAUGAGUUCCCAGAUUUUGUUUGUUUAUGUUCAUUUCGAUGGAGAAAUGAUAAAUACAACUGAAGAAGGCUGUGUAUUUCAAAGUCGGAAAAAAAAUGAAUAAGAUUUAACAAGCGUCUUUCGUUGGCGGAUUUAAAACAAAAAAUCAGUACAAAGAUAGCUACCCGUUGCAAAAAGCAAAUGUUGAGACUGUUUUACAAAAUUUUCGGUUGCAACAGAUCUGCCUAAGUUAUCAGAAAUGGAGCUUGAAGAUGAUGAUGAUCUAGGGACAAUGAUAGCAAUUUAUUGCCCCUCUUGAAAUGGAAAAUCCCAGCCCGGUUGAGUUGUUCGCGAAGAUAGCUGAACUGGAUCCCAUUCAAGUUGUAAUUUCAGCAAGCCAAUGUUUUGGAAUUGAUUUUGAUCUUAACGUCUCCUAGAAAGAUUAGUUGGGUUGUGGACGGUCAAUGCCAACUCCCGAAAAUCCAAAAACCGGUGGAUGUUCAUAUAACAUCCCAAACUCAUGUACUUGUCUAGAGAUCCAUCCACAGGUGUUGGCCACCACAGAAGAUGGUGACGAAGGGUCUGAUAAUGAUGACCAGUCCCACUGUGAUCCCAACGAUGAUUUCAGUGACCCCAGUUUGGAUGACAUCCCUGAAGACAUAGACGAGGAUGACCCGGUGGAGGGUGAUAAUGCAAACCCCCAUUCGGUCGGGAACACGGAACCUGAUAUAGUUAUAAGAAAUAAUCUUGGGUCCUUCAUAACCGACGUAGAUUCUGAUGUGGCUUCUGCACGCGAGUUCUCGGAAUAUACAAAAAUUGGUUGGCUCACCUACUUGAUGAUGAAUUCAACGAUGAAGAGUUGUUCGUAGGACAACAAUUCAAUAACAAGAAAGACUGUUUACAUGCUAUAAAACAACUUAGCUUGAAGUUAGGUGUGGAUUAUAAAGUAACGAAGUCGACGUAGUCUUUGUACGUAGGAGAAUGUUGGAAAGCCUCAAGUGGGUGUAAUUGGCGUGUUCGAGCCGCGUUAAUGCAGCGGACACAAAUGUGGAUAAUAAGGAAACUAGAAGGUCCACACACAUGCACGUCUGCUCGUAUGUCAUAAGACCAUUGAAAGUUAGAUGCAAAAACUAUAUGCAACUACAUAAUCUAUUUGGUGAAAGAGUCACCCACCAUUCAGGUGUCGGUCCUUAUUGCUGACAUGCAAGCUUGAUUCAAGUAUAAAGUGUCGUAUAGAAAGACAUUGUGGGCAAAGUAAAUGGCGAUGCGAGAGUUGUAUGGUGACUGGGAUGCGUCAUGCAACGAGCUUCAAGGGUGGAUAAUCGGGAUGCGAGAGUAUGUGCCUGGGAUAGUGACUGAUUUGCAAACACUGUCGUAUAAAGGCUCGAACAGAUAGAUACAAUUGGGGAAACGAGUUUUUCACUGAUUAUUUUAGACGUGCGUGUGUUAGGGCCUUCCCUCACUACAAGCCGAUGGUGCAGGUGGACGAGGCUUGGUUCUACGAUAAAUACACGCAAAUGCUCCUGAUUGUUGUUGCAUAAGACGUCAAUGGUAUUUCCGAUUGCUUUGGCCAUCGUGGAGCGUGAGUGCUUCAAGUCUUGGAAAUUUUUCUUCAGAAAUCUACGGAGGCACGUUGUUAGAGAAGACAACAUUUUCCUUAUAUCAGAUAGAUCGAAAGGAUUACUUGCUGUGAUAAGGCAAUCAGGGGUUCUGUGGAGGUCUGUUUAUUGCAUCCGGCACAUUGCGAUAAACUUUCACAGAGAUUAUAAGAAUAAAGAUUGGAAAAAAUAAUUCGUGAAUAUGGGUAAAAAAUAUUGUUUGUAUUUAUUUCAAAAAUUCCUUUUCAAAUUUUUUUAGCCUGUAAGUUUUUAAAAUACUAAUUCCAAAUUGCAUAUGCCGCUUAUGAGUUAGAGCUGCAAAGAUUCAAGCAGAGGUUCAUGAGGCUUGAAUCUCAGAUGUCAUCUUUACUAAUAGAUCUCGGGACAUGGUUGGGUAGCAUGGAAAACUAGCAAUAGACUUAAAAUUACGAUGAGGGGUUUCGGUAUGGGCAGAUGAUGACAAACCUGGUAGAGGCGGUUAACUCUUUAUUGAGGCGCACACGUCAUUUGUCGAUUUUUACUGUUUUCUCGGUAACAUUAUAUAGGUUGGACACAUUGAUGCCUAGGAUCGGGUUGAGACAAGCUAAGCAGAUCGAGACCGGGCACGCGUACGUUGAGGCCGUCCGAAAGGCCAUGGCGGUAAAUAGUCAAAGGGCACAAACAAUGAACGCAAAAUUGUAAUCGCGUGACUCGGGUAUUUCACCUAGAUCGUACGCAGUUGAUUUGUGAAACAGGCGUUGUGAGUGCGAGAUAUUUCAGACUCUUCGAUAUCCCUGUGCGCAUGUUCAUGCAGCGUGUGCGAGAGCAAACUUAAAUGUUGAAUAAUUCAUACACGGGAUCUACACAUUGCAACGCACAUUGCGUAUAUGGGGGAACAAAUUUCUUGUAAUCCCUGAUGUCUCAAACUGGGAAGUUCCACUACCUGCUUUCGAGAUGGUGCCUGACCGUAGUUUUCGUAGACAUCCUAAAGGUCGACCACAAUCGACGAGAAUUCGAAAUGACAUGGACGUCAGGGAGACGGGCGAACCCAAACUGUGCACUGUGUGUCGAACAUCCGGACACAACCGAUCAACUUGCCCACAUCGUGUUUAUGUUUUCAGUUAAUCGUCUCGUAAUGCCGGACUCGAAGAUGACGAAUGAUAUAUUAUUGAACGCAUGUUCUUGUAAAAAUAUUGUAAAAAUAUGAAAAAUUAUACAAAUGAUAUACUUUAUUCAAAUUAUACAAUUGAUUAAUUAUAAUUAAUAAUACAUAUUUUUUCUUAUUCCUAAUUUAAAACACAUUAAAUUAUAAUACAAUAUACAUACAUAUUUAUUUUAAAACAGAUUAAAUUAUAUUAAUUCAACUGAAAAUCAAAUAAAGUAAAAAGUGAAAUGAAAAUGAAAUUAAAAUAAGGGAAUGAAAUGAAAAGAAAUUCAAAUUUAAUAGAAAUUAAAGAAAAAAAAAGAGAUUGAUUUGAGGUGAACUGCUAAAAAGAUGAAAUAUAUAAAUUAAUAUGGAAAAAACAUAAAUUAAAAUGGAAAAAAAAAGAUAAUUUAAAUGAAAUGAGAAAAAAAUUAAAUGAGAAAAAAAUAAAUUUAAAUAGAAAAAAAGAUAAUUUAGAUGAAAUGGAAAUAAAAUGAAAAAAAAAGUUGAAAGGACAGGUCAGGCCAGUGUCAGGCUUGCGGCAGGCCUAACAAGCAGACGGCCUGCAGGCACUAGGCCUGCUACGAUGUGACCCAAUAGGUCAGGCUUAAAAAAAACCCAAAAAAGGAAAAAGAGAAAAUUUUAUUUAAAUUUAAAAUUUUGAAAUGAAAUGAUAUUUAAAUUGAGAAAAAACUUAAAUAAAAUAUGAAAAAAUUUAAAUAAUAUGUAAUUGAGAUUACUUCUAAUUAAUAUGAAAAAAAUAUGAAAUGAAUUGAAAAAAUAAUUUGAAUUGAAAAAAGAUAAAUUGAAAUUAGACUACUUGUGAUUCAUAUGAAAAAAAAAAUUGUAUAUUAGAAAAAAUAAAUUUAAAUGGAAAAAAAAUUAAUGAAAUGAAAUGUUAAAUGAAUAUGAAAUGAAAUGUAAUUUGUAAUGAAUAUGAAAUGAAAUGAAAUGAAUUUGUAAUGAUUAUGAAAUGGAAUGAAAGUUUAAAAGAAAAUAAAUUAUAAAUUGAAAUGAAAACAAAAACUGAAAUGAAAAAAAAAUUAAUAUCUGACUACUUGUUAUUAAUAUGAAAAAAAUUGAAAUGAGAAAAAAUUAAAUUUAAAUGGAAAAAAAGAUAAUUUAAAUGAAAUGGAAAUGGAAAUGAAAUGAAAAAAAAAAGUUGAAAGGACGUGUCAGGGCCUGUGUCAAGCCUGCGCCAACUUCAGGCCAGUCAACAAUGGCCAAGAAUUGGCUGGCACCAAGCCCAUUCGGCCUUCCAUUGGCCGACACUAGCAAGCUUGGUGCGAUGUGACCCAACGGGUCAGAAAGUGAAACAAGUUUUUUUGGUUUUUUUUUUCCAAUUUUACCUCUGCUCAGCCACUAUGGUCCCCCACUAUAAAUGAGGUACUUCAACCUAAAACCAGAUCACCACCGUUGAUAACUGCCGUUCACCAUCGACCGUCACUGUUAACUGCCGACCGUCACCGUCCUCUGCCGACCGACAACCGUCGAUUAUCUCCAAUCACCUUUCACAACCUUCGUUCACCGUCGACCAUCGUCAAUCACUCGAUGGAUCCUAAUCCUAAUUCUAAUCCUAAUCCUAAUAUUUUUUUAAAUGACAACAACCACAUUGCUAAAAAUGUGAAUAAGGUAAACGAGAAGAAAAAAUGUCCCGUUUAAUUUUAAAUAUUCAUUUAAAUUAUUUUUUAAACGAGAAAUAUAACAUUUUAUAUUUACUAUAAACGUAGGGUCAGUAUCGAAUUGUGAGGCCCUGGUUGUAUGAUCUUGGUUAUUUUUUCGAUAAAAGAGUUUUACCGUAUUUGAACAUCGCGGGUUUUAAGGUAGCCGUGUACAUUAAGAUAUCUGAGCUGCGGGCCAAUUUAAUAUCGAUCUUAGUAUAAAGAUGGUGCCCGGAGACACAUACGUUCCACCUCCCGUGUGGGGGUAACUAUUACACUGCAAGAUGUAGCAGUCCAAUUAGGGCUGUUUAUAAAUGACGAAGCAGUGACUGAGUUUGGAAAAGUGCUCGAUCCGUGGGGUACUUGCUAGCGGUUACUUGGAAGAGUGCUCCCAACAAUGAGGAAGAACGAUUAACCAAUAUUAAAUUUACCUGGUUGAGAGAAAACUUCCAGCAUCUUUCGAGUAGUCCAAUGCAGAUGGGCAUUAUCUACGCUGCAAGAGCGUUCAUUCUGCAAUUUAUAAGUGAGAUGCUUUUGUCGGACGUCCAUCAAAAUAAAGUCAACAUCAUGUAUCUCCCUUUAUUAGAGGAUUUCGAGCUUGCCAGAAGAUUUAGUUGGGGCUCUACAGUAUUGGCAUGCUUAUACCGUGAGCUUUGUCGAGCAACAAAGUCGUCUACAAAAACAAUGGGCGGUUGCUGCGUUCCACUGCAGUUUUGGGCGUUAUACCAAAUGCCAUUUCUAGCAUCAGUGAGCCACCAAUUGUAUGUGUGGCCACUCGUGAACUGGUAAAUAUAUAAUUCAAUUUUGACAUCUAUUUUUUAAUUGUAUAGUAUAGUAUACUCAUUUUUGCAAGGAAAAAUAUCUGAUAAUUUAUUCUUUUUUUUAGAUGGGUAACUGUACCGAGAAUCAGACGAUCGUUCACCAUACCUGUAUACCGUAUGAUGAUCGAGACUCAUUCCAGGGAUGGCGUGAAAUACGCUUCUGAAUCUUUCUUUUUUAAAUACAAUAAUUGUACAAAAAAAUUAACUAAUAACAUGUUGUCUAUAUUAUGCAGUUUUUAUGGAUGCUAUAUGUUGAGGAAGGGAUCGCGACGUUCAUACCAUCAUGGGUUACCGAGCAGCAACAACUAUUUGUGUCAAAUGUUCCAUUGAUUCAUUUUCAUAUGGUAGAGUGGCACGAUGGAGGUCGGGUAUUGAGGUAGUUCGGUUGCGCACAACCUAUCCCGAACCCUCCCGUCAACAUCAAAGAAGUCAUCGGAAUGGACAAAAAGGGUUCGGGUCGGGACAUUUUAAAUUGGGCAGAAAAAGAUGAAACAUAUAUCUUUUUGUGGCAUGAUCGACAUUCAAGGCGCCCUCCCUUGUAUAUCUUAGAGGGAGGGUUCUCUCCUACGCGUGAGUAUGCAGAAUGAUAUAUGGCAUACGGGAAGCCUUUUAUAUUCUAAGGUCAUUAUAUGUUGAUCCCGAAAGACGCGAGACCAAAAUCUUCUCGAUGGCAACAGAGGAACGCACGAUUGUGCCGUAAUCGAGUUUCGCCAUUCAGGAGCAUCGAAACUGAUUCUACCUAGAACCCCGAUCCCGAGCCUCAAUAUGAAGCAUCCGGCUCGUCAUCAUACCACUUGGAGUCGGAGCCCGAGCCCCAAUUUCCUCUAUUGGUCGAGGAUAUUUUUGGUGAUGACCCCGAGCCUUAACAUUCGACACGGUCCGAAUUGUCUUCAUACCACCCGGAGCUCGAUCGAGAAGCACAUACACCUAUUACUAAGGAUAUUCUUCCAUCGGCACCUCAAGUCACGCAAUACCUCUUAACUCUCGAUUAUGGUGUAUAUAAUUAUACUACUUUUCUAAGUACACCGGAUGGGAUACCGGAGGUCAGACCGAGCAACUAUCAAAUGCCUCAGCAAGAUGCACGACAUCGCCAAUGAAGGCAGCCGAACCGUUACACACCAACGCUGGGGACGUCGUCGAGAUCACGACAAUUUGAUUUUUAUCUUUAAAUAUUUACUUUAUUUUGUAAUUAUUCUAUUUUAAUAUUAAUUUAAUAUCUCUAAAAUAAGUAUUUGUUUGAAUAAAUGACUUCGAAAUAUUUAAUAAAAAAUAUAUAAUUUGAAUAAGUAAUAGUACACAACAAAUUAAAUUUACAAAUACAAUAAAAUACAAAUAUUCUUGAAUAUUAAUAUACAAAAAUAUAAAAUUUAAACAAAAAUAAUAUGCAUUAAAUUAAAUUUAAACACCCAAAAAACUAUAAACAGAUGGGUAAAUUUAAUACACAAAAAUUUUAAAUUCAAACUACAUAUAACAGAAACUAAAUUAAAUUUAAACACCCAACAAACUAAAAACAGAUGGGUAAAAUUAAUACACGAAAAUUUUAAAUUCAAACUACAUAUAAUACCGGCUAAAUUAAAUUUACAGAUACAAAAAAAUACAAACAUUCUAAGAAAUUAAUACACAAAAAUAUAAAAAUGAAACAUUAAAUCCUAAACAACUACAUUGAAUUUACAGAUAUAAAAAAUACAAAUAUUCUAAAGAAAUAAUAUAAUUAUUUUGGAUAGUAGUUUCUUCACAAUUAGUCGUCUUAUACUUGAAUCGGGUCUACGUUGCAUCAGUACCCCACUUAUAAGUUGCGGAAUAAACGCUCUUGCACCAUAGAUAAUGUCCAUCUGCAUUGGACAUCUCGGUUAGCCAUUUAUGAUGCAAUAAGUCAUCCUACCCUUAAUGGCAUAACCUUUAAGGUUGACAUGGCAGUAUAUAAUUCAACUCUGUUAAAACAUGAUAGUAUAUAAUUAAACCCCGAAAUUCGGUUGUACACUACAAAAAACUUACAUCUACAAUCCAUUACAAAAAACUCAUUUGAUGAUAGACUAUAAAACAUUCUCAUUUUGAUGGCUCUCUCAAAAAAAAAAUCUCAUCCAUUUACACUAUCAGAACCCAAACCACCCCCUGUAUAUAGAGUGAGGGGAGGUUUCGACCAUUUGAUUCCCAAAAUUAAUAAAAUUAAUAUUUUAAUACUUGGUACCGGCCAUCAGUGUUCCAAAAUAAGAAAAAAUAAUUUUUAUAAUCUAAUAAAGUUGGUGCCGGCCAUCGGUAUCCCAAAACAAAAAAAUUUUCGGGACCCAAAAAAGGUGGUGCCGGACAUCAGUGUCCCAAAGUAAAAAAAAAGUGCCUUAGGAGCCGAAAAAUGUACUUGGUGCCGGCUAGCUGCUGGCCGACACCCAAAAUAUUUCUUUAAAUGACACUGGUGUCGGCCAUCAGUGUACCAAAGUAAAAAAAAAAGUGCCUUGGGAGCCGAAACAUGUACUUGGUGCCGACCAUCUACUGGCCAGCACCCAAAAUUUUUUUAAAUGACACUGGUGCCGGCCAUCAGUGUCCCAAAGUAAAAUAAAAGUUCAUUGGGAGCCGGAAAAUGUACUUGGUGCUGGCCAUCUAUUGACCAGCACCCAAAAUUAUUUUUUUAAAAUGCCCAUGGUGCCGACCAUUACAUGGCCAAAACCAAUUUUUUUUCAAAUACUGGUAUUUUUGUAUACUAGUAUGAUACGAUUUUUAAAAAAAAUACCCUGGUGUCGACCAUUCAUGUCCUAAACUCAAAAAAUUCAUUUUUUAAAGCUUGACACAAUUAUCAGGUAAUGAUGAGGCCAACAUACAAGGUGAUGCCGACCAUUGGGUUCCCAAAACCCAAAUUUACUGUUCAUUUCAGGUCAUGUUGGUGAAUGUUUUUGAACCAGGGUUAUUUUUGUAAAUAUUAAAUUUUUUGGGUUAGAUGAGGAAAAUAGCCUAAUUUAUGAGUAAAAUUUGUGGGUGGACAUAUAAUCAAAACGAGAUCAAUGUAAUAUUAGCCGUACUCAAAAGAGAAAUAUUUAACGCACUAAUUACAUUCAUGAUCUAAAAGAGAUAAAGAUCAAUUUUACAUUACAAGAUAUAAUUUUUGUCCGGAUAAAAUUACAAGGCUUUCUCACAAAUAUUAUGACUCAACAAGGUAUAACUUUUGCAUGGAUAAAAUUAGAAAUCCUCCUCACAAAUUUUUUAGUUCAUUUGUAAAGUUUUACUUAUUAAUUUUGAUAUAACAAAUAUUAUAUUUUGAAUAAAAUUCAUUUUAAACAUAACAAGAAUUUCAUUUUAAAUGAUAUCUAAAAGAAAAAUGGUUGAACUCAUACUUUAAAAAUAUUUUUGAAGCAAAAUUAGUCAAACAAACUUUAACAUUCUUCAGACAUAUUAAAAUUGUUCAUUGCCAAAAAGUAUCGACAAGUAUCGAUAAAUUUAAAUGAGUAUCAAUAGAUUCACAAAUUUAUCGAUACAUUUUUCAGUACCGAUACAAAAAUGACAUUUUGUUUUUAAAAAUGUUUACCAAGUAUCAGUCCGGUAUCGAUACCUUUUGUUGGGUAUCGAUAAAUUUCUUCAAGUAUUGAUAAUGAUAUACUUUUAUCGGUACAUUUAUCGAUAUCGAUACGAAAUUGACAUUCUGACUUCCAAAUCUUUUAUCAAGUAUCAAUACGGUAUCGAUACCUCAUAUUUGGUAUCGAUAGAUUUUCCUAGGUAUCGAUAGUAUUGGUUCCAACUGUCACUAAAUUAGGCAUUAAAUGCUAUUGGUAUCGAUACUUGUAGAAAAAACAUCGAUACCUGUUGUUGUAGGUGACAUUUAUGCACUGGUAUUUUCAUCCCCAACAACUCUAUUCAAUAUCCCAACAACCACAACGGUUGGAAAUCAAUUGAAGGGUAUAACUAUCAGCUUCUAAAUGUCUUACAACAACAAGAGAGAUUAUUGAAGCAUAAAAAUCAAUCAAACAACCUUUGUGCUUAAUAUUUUCAUACUUUUCUUACAUACACUUGUGAGUUUCAUUGUUUAUCUAUCAGCUCAAGUUUUUUUCUUUGUAAUUAUGCUUAAUUGACAAACACUUUGAUCUUAUCAGAGUUAUUUAUUAGUUUGCUUGUUUGUUUCUCUUUGAGAAGGUUUGAGUCUUAAGAUUUGUGUAGAAAUCUUAAGAGAGUUGUAAGGUUAAACCUUAUCCUCAAAAGUUGAUCAUAUUAAUGAAUUUGAGAAAAUCCUUAGUUGUGAAAAGCUAAGGUAAUGGAGUAAGAGUUUGGGACCGAACAACUCUAAAUCAUUGUGUUCAAUUUUUCCAUCCUUUCUCUCAAGAUUCCACAAAAUUUUUAAAAUCCAAUUCACCUCCUUUUAGCAUUUUCAGAUUGAUUUAUUGAUCAAACAAUUGAUAUUAAAGCUAGUCUCUAAAAGAUAGAUUGGCAACUAAAAGAAGAUCUUCGGGAAAACUCUUCCAAUCGUCAACUCAAUUCACAAAGAAUGACGUUUACUUCUAGUCUAGUUUUCUAUGGAGAAUCUCAAUCUAUCUCCAAGCCUCAUUAUUUCAAUGGUGCAAAUUAUUCUUAUUUGAAGAUGAGGAUGAUGUUAUUCAUUCAAGGCAAUACCUUUUGGCAUGAGAUAUCAUCAUAGAUGGUCCCCCUAUUCCACUCAAACAAGAAGGAGAGCUUCUAGUUCCAAAGAGUAAGAAAGAAUGAAAUGAGAAAGAUAGCAGGAGCAUUCAAUUUAAUGCCAAGGUUAUGCACACUCUAUUUUGUAUAUUUGGUCCCGAAGAGUAUAGUAGGGUGUCAUCAUGUGCCAAUCUUAAGGAGAUAUGAAACAAUCUUGAAGUCACUUAUGAAGGUACAAAUCAAGUGAAGAAGUCCAAAGUUGGAAUUUUUACUCCCAACUACGAAACCUUCAAAAUGAAGCCCGAGGAGGACAUCAAGGUAAUGUCCAAUCAAUUUACUAUAAUCAUCAAUAGAUUAAAGUCAUAUAGGAAGACUUAUCUCAAUGAAGAGGUAGUGAGAAAAAUACUUUGAAGCUUGCCUAAAUCAUAAGAAACUAAAGUAACUGCUAUUGAAGAGGCAAAGAAUUUAGAAACACUUACUCUAAAUGAGCUUAUCAGUUCUUUUCUUACAUAUGAGAUGGGGCUCAAAGAAGGGGUCAAAGAAAAUGUUGAAAAUAAGAAGGUCGAUAUAUCCAUCAAAUCCACAACAAUUGAAGAGAGUGAUUCAAGUAACGACGUGGAUAAGGAUAAAGAGAUAGUCAUGUUUGCUAGGAGAUUCAAAAGGUUCAUGAAGUCUAAUAAAAGAAGAUGAUUCCAAAAGAAAGAGGGAUUGAAACUUGAGUCCACUAAAGACAGAGAUCCUAUCAUUUGCUAUGAAUGCAAAAAGUCGGGACACGUCAAAUUCGAUUGUCCACAAUGGAAUAAGAAGGGAUCAAGCAAACAAAAGCUCAAGGUUAACAUUGCUACUUGGAGUGACGAAGAUUCUUCCAAUGAAGAUGAGCAUGAAGUAGCCAAUCUUUGCCUUAUGGCCAUAAAUGGACCAAAGGUAACUUCUAACUCAUCUAUUUCAAUUUUUUAUUCAUUUGAUGAGUUACAAGAUGCCUAUGAUGAACUAGGAUUAAAGUUUAAAAUUAUGAUUUCAAAAUAUAAGGAAAACAUUUCAAAAUUAAAAGAUGAAAAGAGUUCACUCUCCAAGACUAAUCAUGAACUUGAAAAUAAAAUAAAUGACAUGCAAGCUAUUAUAAAUGAUUUUGUGAAAAAGAAUUGACUUGUAUAAUUUGUUUUCUAAAGUUCGUGAUGAUCACGAAAAGCAACUUGAGUUGCUAAAGAUUGAAAAAACUCACUCUAACAAAGAUUUACCAAAAAGAUUUGAUAAAGGAGAAAGUUUAAAACAAAACUUUGUUGAACUAGUUUUAAUUUCUAUAAACAUAGAGUUCCCUUAAGAUUCUACAAGGUAAAACUUGUUAAAAGUGUAUGGGUCCCUAAAGUUAGUGCUACUCAAGACAAGGAAGCUCUUUCAAAAUGGAUACCUAAAGGGAGUAAGAUUUUAGGAACUAAUGCUUAUAGACCCAAAAGAAUUUGGGUACCAAAAGAAUUUGGGUACCAAAAAUCAAAGUUUAAUUUUAUGUUUGUAAGGAAAUGAGCAUUGCUUCAAAGUGGAAAAUUCAAGAUAAACUCAUGGUACCUUGAUAGUGGAUGCUCAGGACACAACCUGUGGCAUGAGUCAUUUUAUCAAAUUGAAGCCAAAAAGUGGAGGAGAAGUUACGUUUGGUGACAACUCCAAAGGAAUUAUUGAAGGAAUUGACUCUAUUGGUAAAAACUCUUCAAUAUUUAUUGAAAAUAUCUUAUAUGUUAACGGUCUUAAGCAUAAUCUCUUAAGUAUUAGUCAAUUGUGUGAUAAAGGUCUCAAUGUCAUCUUUGAAUCUAAUGGUUGUAAAGUAAUUGACAUUGUAUCUAAUAAGAUUGUGCUUGUAGGACAUAAAAUAGGAAAUAUAUACAUGGUGCAUUUAGAUGAAAUGCAUGAAUUAAACAUAUUCCUUAAUGCUAAAAAUGAAAAUAAUUCUUUUUUGUAGCAUAAGAAAUUAGGACAUGCUAGCAUGAGCAUAUUGCAUACAUUAGCCAAAAAUAACUUAGUAAGAGGUUUUGCUUAUACAUUGUGAAAACUCUUAUAGUAUUCUAAUAUAUUGAAUUUGCUAAAUGUGAUUUAAGCUAUGUAAUUUGAAUAAAUAUGUUUAUCGAUUACUUUGGUUGUCUUGUGAUGGAACUCACACAGAGCUUUCAUAGCUCACCCAUUUAUUUUCUUACUUUUCAGAUAACCCAUAAUGUUAGGAUACGGAAUAUUGAUUUAUAUAUAAAAGUAUUUUAGACUGAUUAUUUUAUAAUUCUGGUUGUUUGAAACUAUAUUAAUAUUAUUGUGGCAUGAGACUUAGUUUACAAUUUUAACUUAAUGCAUGCAUGACAUUUAAUCAUUCAAGUUUUUAGAAUAUGAAUUUUAUCUAAUUAUACAUGAAACAUGAUUUUUAUUAAAACGUUAAUAUCGCUUUUCCCUGCUAAAUUGCAAAUGUGUUUUGUUAAGAAAGUAACUCGGAUUUUCAACUCAACAUUAACAACGUUAUAAUGAAGAUAUUAAACUUAAUCAUUUUUUUGAAACUCUGAGUUUUUCUGAAAAGAGACCAAAACUUCUAAAAUAAACAAACGUUUCUUCGAGAAAGUUACAAUACUAAUCUAAUUAAUUCUCAACUAAAUCUAUUAAUAGAAAAAAUUGACUUGUAAUGAUGUGACUACAUGAUGUUAUAAUUUUAUGAUUAAUUAUUGUUUAUUAUGCCAAGAAAAUAGGUAGCCAUAUGCAGUUGGAUUGAUGACAAUCAUAAAGCAACAUAAACCUAAAAUAUAUGAUUUUGCUCCAAUUUAAACGUGCUUAAUUGUAUUUUUAUUCAAAAGUCGUUACAUUUGAUUUGACAUUAUUACUUUUUUUAAUUUUGUAAUAAAAUAAUUUUAAUCAAAGUGUUGUAAAUAAAUCAAAGUUGUGGGAGGAGAAACACUCAUAUUAUUCAAGUAUCAUUGUUACUUAAAACUGUAUUUCUUUAAUAAAAUUUUAAUUUUAUAAGAAAACAAUUUUUUAUCUAUGAAGUGAAAACAGGAUUAUUUAAUUAUGUCUUGUCUUUCAUUUUGAAUUAGUGUAUUUAAGUUUUAUAUCGGAAAAUUACUUUUUCUUCUAAAAUCAAUUCAUUUUCAAAAGAAAUUUUUUUAGUAUAAACAAUUGUAACUUAAUAAUAUUAGUGAUUAUUAUGUAAAAUUUGAUGGUUGAAUGAUUGAAACGUAAUUUUAUACAAAAUUUAGGGAUUGUUAAUAUAGUUUACCUAAAUUAUAUAUAAUUAUUUUAUCAUGUAUUUAGUCACUAUCAUUUAUUCAAAUUAUUGAAGAUCCAUAAAUUUUUUAAUAAUUUUUAUUUAAAAAAGCAAUCUAAAACUGAAAAUUUAGCGACUUUAUUUUUUUUAAUUGUUAGUUAACCUGUUAUAUUUUAAUUGAAAAUAAUGAAUAUUUUUUAUAUAUGUAAUUUAUUAAAUUUAAUUUAAUUAAUAAAAUUACAUACUUAAAUGAAGAAAGUUUAAUUAAUUUUAUAUUUAAAUAAUUUAAUAAAAUUAUAUAUUUAAAUAAGAUAAUUGAUCAGCUUUAAAAAAGUUUAAAAUAUUUAUUUUAUAGCUUUAAAGUUCAAUAAAAUACGUAUAUAUUAUAUUUUAAUUGGCUUAAAGGAAUGUUAGCAUAAUUUGAGUUUGUAUAAGUGAAUUUGAUUUGCCUUAGUGUAAAUUUAUGGCUAAUUGAUUUGAAAGAUGUAAAUUAGUUAAAAUGAAAUAUUUAGGUAUGUUUUGAAAUAGUUUAUGCAGGAUAUAAGUGUGCAUUAUGCAUUAAUUGUGUUAAUGGUUUGGUUUGGCAUGAAAUAUGUAUCAAAUGGUUUAAAAUGUACAAAAAAAUAGAGUCCACAUCGAGACAAUAAACUCGCCUUGUCACAACGCUGGCUGGCAGUUUGUGACUUCUCGACAUCGAGUGGUCAAACAUCGCAAUGUGACAAACUAUUUGGCAACAUCACAACAUGGAGGAGGCCGACAUCGUUUUUAAAAUUUUACAAUUUGGUCCUAAAUCUUGCUCGAGUCAACAAAAGAGCUUUUGUGAGCUCCAUUAAGGCUCAGAUUUAGUUGAGAAUCAUAUUAUGAAUGUGUUUUAAGUCAUAAAUAUUUGUUUGGUUGUUAUAUUUACUGUAUUCUAUCAGAAGUUGCUCUGGUAACGGAUUUGACAUCUCGUAACUCAGAUUCGACGAUUGGGUCAGGUGAGGGGUGUUACAAAUACUUCCGUACCAAAUGCAUCAUGGAUGAUGUCGCUUUGUUAUAGUGGCGUCGUAGGUCUAGAGAUGAGAAAUGAGGUGGAGCUACCACUGGGACUUGAGAGGAAUUCCAGAGUAAUUUCAAUGGGCAAUUUUACCUAGAGUAUGUCGAGGAUGAGGCUCAGGCUAAGUUCCGCCGGCUUAUGCAACAACAUACAAUAGGACAUAUGUAAAGAAGUUCAGUGAGCUGAUGCUCCAAAUUUUUGAUUCGGGUGAGAAGAAGGUAUUUUUAUCCUUUAUGGAUAGGCUAAAACCGUGGGAAAAGCAAAAUUUUCAAUGCUAAGGGGUUACAAAACUUCCCAAAGCUAUGACCAUAGCGGAGUCCUUAAUCGAGAUUGUUCCGAGGAAAGACAAAUUUGAGUCUUCCAAGGCUAAAGAGAAGGGAAAUGGUAGGGGAGAUGAAGGACAAGUUGGGAACAGUAACGAUAAUAGUGGUAAUGGGAAACCAGAUAACGGGAAGUGGAAGCCUAACAACAAACCAAAGAGGCCAAUGAAAUGCUUCAUUUAUGACGAUCCACAUAUGGUAAAGAACUGUCCGAAACGAUCCGUGCUUUUUUCUAUCAAAUGGGACGAUUAGUCAAACAAAGCAUCGAUGAAGUUUGGUUCAAUUUUGAGUUCUGUCGAUGCCAAGCGGGGAAAAGAGAAUAAGAAGAAGCUAAUGAAGUGGUUCUUAUGUUGUGAUACGUAUAGGAUACAAGACUAUCCAGAGCGAUCUAAUUUGUUUGCAAUCACUAAAAAAGAUGAAAUGGAGCUAGAGAAUGAGGCUUUAAAGCUUGGGUCAAUGAUACUCAAUUCUGGUAAAACGAAGAGAGAUCGCAAACAAAAAGGGUUGAUGUUUGUAGACAUCAACAUCGUAAGCCGAAGAAUGAGUGCUCUUGUUGAUAAUGAGGCAUUUAACUUGUUUAUACCGGAGAAAGCCGUGGGUAAACUUAGUCUCACAGUUAGCAAAUCGAUCAAGAAGAUCAAGAUAGUUAAUUCCAAAGAGGUUCCAACCAUGGGAGUAACAUAAUGGGUUGAGCUACAAAUCGGCGAGUGGAAAGGCAAUGAAGACUUUGGUAAUUCAUUUAGAUGAUUAUGAAUUCGUGCUUGGCUUGAAUUUCCUCACUUGAAUUAAUGCUUUUUUGGAUCCUCUUUCUGAUUGCGUAACACCUUGUUAACGACCCAAUCACCAAGUCUGAGUUACUAGGUGUCACAUUUGUUGCCAGAGAAACUACAAUCAACUACAUUUCAUUUAUACUAUUAAAUGACUAAUUUCAACCAAUACAUGCAUACAAUACGAUAUACAACCGUUUCUACAUUUUAAACGAGCUUACGAAUACUCUGAAGCUAACUCAAGGUAAAAUUAGUACCAAAUUUAAAAAAUCUUAAAACAUCGGAUUGACGUCGCGACGUCAAGGGGUUCCUCGUCAUGAUGCAAUCUACUGAGUGGGCCUCACCGCAACAAUCAAUACCGGACAUCACGUUGUGGCAUGGCAAGUUGUUCUCAUCGCGAAAACAAAUGUUAAAUGUCAUGACAUACUGAUUAGGGGUGAGAAAAAUUCGAUUCGACUCGAAAAAAUUGAACAAAAUUCAAAUUUCGAGUUAAACGAAUCGAGUUAUUCGAGUUAUUCGAAUCAACUCGAAUUUUUUUUUCAAAUUUCGAGUUCGAAUCGAGUUGGGUUUUUGAAUUCGAAUAAUUCGAAUAAUUCAAAUAUCAAACUAUAAUAUUUUAUAUUUUUACCCCAAACUCCCAAACCUCCAAACCUUUUUACUUUUCCCUCAAAACUUUUACUCCUUCCCACUUUCCCCCAAAACUUUUACUCCCCUCCCCUCCCCUCCCAACCCCCCAAUCUACCCAAAAUUCAUUUCCCACCAAAAUUUUACUCUCCCAUUUACUUUUUCUCAAAAUUUUACUUCCAAAAACCCUCAAAACCUUUUAUUUUUCCCCAAAAUUUGUACUCCCUCCCACUUUUUCCCUAAAACUUUUAUUCCCUUCUCAUCCUACCCCUCAUCUACCCCAAACCCUCCCCCCUCCAAUUUUUUUUAAUAUUUUCCUCCAAAAUUUUACUCCCCCUAUUUACUUUCCCUUAAACUUUUAUUCCCCAAAAAUUUUUAUUUUCUCCCUAAACUUUUACUUCUCACCCUUUACUCUCAAAUAAAAAAUCAAAAUUAUCCCCAAAAAAAAUCACUAAACAUAAAUAGUAAUAAUUUUAUUUAUAUCUACUAUUUAUAUUAUUAAAUUAAAUUUCACAUUUUAUAUUAUUUAUAUUAUUGAAUUGUUUAGUCAUAUUGAAUAUUUAUAUUAAAAUUGAAUUAUUAAUUAUGCCAUAAAAUAUUCGUGUUAAAAUUUUAUAUUAGUAUCAAUUUCACAUUUUAUUUUUAAAAUAAUUUAUAUUAAAAAAAUCAAAUUUUUACAUUUAAAAUAUUUUUUAAUUCCAAAAUACAUAGUGACAAGAAUCUGAAGAUAAUUGAAACAACUAAGCAAGCAAAGAAGCUAACCAGUAUAUAAAAAAUUAAUAAAUAAAUUAUAAGGUGAUGAAAGUUAAUAAAAAAUUUGAUUAAGGUGGACAAAUUUUAUUACGAUGGGUGACAGUGGUUAUAAGGACACAAAAUUAUUUUUUAAAAUUUAACUCGAACAAAUAUAUUCGAUUCGAUCCAAUUCGAAUUCCAUCUCACUCGACUCGACUCGAGAAAACUUCAAAUAAAGUUAGGAUGAUAAAAUGAGAUUCGAAAACUCGAUUAACUCGAAAAUUUUUGAUUCGAUUCGAUUCGAUUCGAUUCGAUUCGAUCGAAUGCCCACCCCUAAUACUGAUUUCAAAUGGUCAGGUCUUAGGGUGAGUUUGGAUGGGCGGUGCGUUUACCUGCGGUUAGUGUAAAAACAGCGGUGGCGGUGAGAUUAGAUACUGUAACGAUAAUGUAGCGUGAGACAAAAAGUAAGCUAAACGCACCACACCGCACUCAAUCGCUCAUCCAAACCCACCCUUAGCCUUUGGCCUCUUCUGCGAAACUCUAAACGUAGAAAGAGUUGGAGUCCGUUUAAAAUGCCUCAGAAGAAAAGUAAAAGGCAAUGGCGAAGAUCUUCAACCUGAAUACAUGAUUUAAGGCAUUUUGCAAAGAAUUUUGCUUUCCAGCUAAAGAGAGAUACAACUAAGGAUAAGACAAAAUGAACCGAUCAUUGACUACUUUUUUAUUCUUUUACGGAUUUUCUAGGUGGGAUCUCAACUCGUUAAUCAAGUUAUAGUUUGAGCAGCCAAACAUUGAAGAAUGUUUAUGACUGAGUUGGGAUUUAAAGCUGUGUUAUUAUGCAGCGAUGGUGAUGAUGAUGAGACUGUUUCUUCUUUUCACCAUCUUUUAGCACCAAUUUACUAACAGUUAUAGUGUUGUUUGGCGAUACCGUUUAAAGGAGGUAGUAAGGAUAGUGUUGUUGGCGAGCAAAAUGUUUAUUGGGUUGCAAGUUUUAUUGGAUUAAUUAUGGGUUUCGAUUUUUCCAAAUGCUUACGUGGAUCACCAUCAGAGACCAGUGCUUUCACCGGUCGUCAUCUUUGAUGGUUUCAAAGUGCUCAUCGUUCUUGCGUUCACAAUUAGAAUGAUAAUCUUGUGGUUAUGAUGUCUCCAAAGGUAUGGUUGUCACCCAAAUAAAAUUUGCACCAAUCUGGUUUUUUACUCUUUUGUCACUUGUCAAUUUCGUUCUUUUUCUGCUAUUUAUUUAGGUUAAUUUUUGCUAUUAGUUCCUGCACUUUAUGAAAAUUGUGGAUUUAAUCCUUAUACUUUAAUUUAGUAAUUUUAAAUUUUUAUACUUUGUUAAAAUUUAAAAUUUCAAUCCUCACCAAAUUAUAACAAUUAGAUUCGUUAAGUUCUACUAUCUUCAAAAUCUAAUGCCACAAACAUAUUACUGCCAUCUGUGUUAAGAAUAAAAUUUCAAAUUUUGAAAAGUAUAAGGACUUCGAAUGAUUUAAUUGGAAAAUAUAGACUAAAUCUACAACUAUAUGCAUAGUACACAAUAGGUAAUUGAGUUUAACCCAACGAAUUCAACUGCUACUGCUUGGAUGAGGACUACAAUUUAAAAAUUCAAAAAGUACAUGGACUAAAAUUGAUAAAAUAAAUUAUAAAGACUAAAUUCACAACUUUUGCAAAGCACAUGGACUAAUUGCAGAAUUUGACCUCUUAUUUACAUUAUUUGAUACAAUAGUUAUACACACCAUAUAAGGGUAAGGCUUAACAAUCCCAAUAACCUAGGACCACUAGCCAUAUCUAGGGGACUGACACCAACUUGACUACAGACUCCAUGUAUAAAAAAGCGUAAAAGUAAAUCCAAAAACCCUUAAAAAGCUUCACCUUACACCAUCAUUUUCCUUAUUAUCUUUAUUCUUUCUAUCAAUAAAAAGCAUAAACUCAGUCGCCAUUUUCAGAAGGUUGAAUCCUCAUAUAAUCCAAAUAUUUUUUUCCAUAGAUCUUGAGGGUGAAGAACUGUUUGAAGUAUUCCUCCAUUCCCACCCUUCUAAACAAUGGAGGGUUUUCUGCAUUUAUAAGACUCAAUGAAGGCCCUACCUCCGCCUCAAAGUUAGGACUCAAGUUGAAGGUAACUGUUAUUCUUUCUCUCUCUUUAUUGCAAAUAACCUUGUGUUCAACGCUGUGAUAAACCCCGUUGCUAAAUAUCUGCAUUUAACAUUUACACAUUUCUUAUAUACAUGCAUACAUAGGAAUAUGUGUUUUGUAAUAGUAAUGUGAAAAACUGGGUAGGGUGUUCUAUUAUUCAUUAAAUUAUGGUAAGUUUUUGUUUUACUCAUUUAAUUAAAAAAAAGUUAUAAUUUAAUCACAAAUUAUUUAAAAAUUCACUUAAGUUACUGGACUAUUAAAAUUAAUGUUAUAUGACUUUUUUUGUUUGUACUAAUAAAAAACUAUUAUUUUCUUUUUCUUUCAUGAAACAACUUUGACAUUGGCGGUCAUAUUUGUUCUACUCAUCGAUGAGUAUUGAUCCAUCAUAUCAAUCGUCAAAUCAUUACUUGGAGUUCGUUAGAGGAAUUAAAAAAAAAAUAAUCACCUAAUAACCUAAAUAAAACUUUCAAAUAAUUCAGCGAUCAAAUUGUAACUUUUUCUAGUUAAGUGAUCAAAAUAAAAACUUAUUUAUAAUUUAGUGAAUAAUGGUAGAAUUUACCAAAAAAAAAAAAAAUCUUUGGACCUGGAAAAUGUCUCCAACAUUGACCACAAAAGCAUCUGGGUUGACGUUGAAAGGGAACCAAAGGCCAUUUUUUUUAACCUCAAGGCCAUCCACUCCAUUAAGUUGGUUUAGGAUAGUGAGGACAGUCAUAUCAGAGUGUGGAAUAAGACCCAUCACCGACUCUGGUUGUGGACAUGGAGGAUAAUAUGCCAUCCUCACCGCUUGCAUCCCAUCAUCAAUCAACUUCAUCAUCUCCUUUUCUUUAAUUUUCAAUGCUUUUCCCAUGAAACCAAUAAGUUUUGUGGCAAGCUUUUGGAGUUCCGAUAAGUAACACUCCAUCGUACUUCUGCAUCAUGAUGAUGAUGACAUCCAUUAAAUAUUAAGUAAACAUCACUUUAUGAGAAGCUUAAAGCAAAGAGGGAAAGAACCUUAAAGAAGGAGGUAGUUGUGGGAAGAGAUGAGGGCUGCGCCUAUGGAGUGGGUUAGUGAUAAUAUUGAAAGUGUCAACCCAAUCAUAUUUGCCAUCUGCUCUCAUCCUCCUUCCAUACCCUUCCAACUCUCCUUCCCUUAUUUUGUAUUUCAGUUUCUCUUCCAAUGGCAGCCUAUAAAAUUCCUCCACCUCGUGCUUCAGUUUCUCCAGCAGUGAUGAGCUAACCCCAUGGUUCACCAACUGCACCGGUAUCACCAUAUCCAUUCAUUAACUACACUCAAUCAUACAUGCAUACAUAUAUAAAAUUUAGUUUUGGAGAGUGAAGCAGAAAAACCUGAAAGAUGCCCCAGUCUUGGCAAGUAGAGUGCAACUUGUGGAGCUCAAGGUUCUGGUGGUCAUCUUCCAAAAGCAAACGAGACAUGUCGAUAGUUGGUGGCAAAGGAGUGGUGACAGACAAGGAAGGAGGUUGUUGGUUUAUACGAACAAAUGGUUGUGGGAUUGUGAAAUCCGGUGCUGCUAAUUUAACAAGUUCCUGGACGCUAAAUGUUGAAGGAUCGAAGGCAGAGGUGCUAAAAUCAUCUUCCGUGUAUGAUGAUGAUGACCCCAUAGCGUUAAGGAAGGAGUCAGCCUCUUCAAUCUACAACAUACAGCCUAUUGUUGGAGAUAUUUAAAGGGGAAAACAAA
rnacentral:lncRNA from 1 species